UUGAUUUUAAUACAUAAUAUAAUUUUUUGCAAAAAAAUUAUAGUAUUAUAAUUAAU
rnacentral:tRNA from 1 species